rnacentral:rRNA from 1 species
UACACACCGCCCGUCACACCAUGGGAGUGGGUUGCAAAAGAAGUAGGUAGCUUAACCUUCGGGAGGGCGCUUACCACUUUGUGAUUCAUGACUGGGGUGAAGUCGUAACAAGGUAACCGUAGGGGAACCUGCGGUUGGAUCACCUCCUUACCUAAAGA